rnacentral:sRNA from 1 species
UUGCAUCUGAGGCCAGUGAGGAUGAGAACCUCCGGGGGCAGGAGGUUCGACUCGAGCGAAGCGAGAGAACGUUGCGUCAGCAACGGCCCGCAGGGCGAGCCACGAAGCGGUGAGUCAUCCUCUAUCACCGACCA